rnacentral:misc_RNA from 1 species
GAUGAAGAACGUAGCGAAAUGCGAUAAGUAAUGUGAAUUGCAGAAUUCAGUGAAUCAUCGAAUCUUUGAACGCACAUUGCGCCCGGUAGUAUUCUGCCGGGCAUGCCUGUUCGAGCGUCAUUUCAACCAUCAAGCCCCAGCGCUUGUGUUGGGGGCCUGCGGCUGCCGCAGCCCCCUAAAAGCAGUGGCGGGCUCGCUAUCACACGGAGUGCAGUAGUUCAUCUUCUCUCCGGUCUUGUGAGGCGGGUUCCGGCCGUGAAACACCCCACUACAUUCAAGGUUGACCUCGGAUCAGGUAGGAAUACCGGCUGAACUUAAGCAUAUCAAUAAGCGGAGGA